rnacentral:rRNA from 1 species
GACGAACGCUGGCGGCGUGCUUAACACAUGCAAGUCAAGGGGGCCCAGCAAUGGGCAACCGGCGAACGGGUGCGUAACACGUGAGCAACCUACCGAACUGUGGGGGAUAGCCGGCCUAACGGCCGAGUAAUACCGCAUACGCUUUCAGUGAGGCAUUUCAUUGAAAGGAAACCUACGGGACAGAUCGAGGGGCUCGCGGCCUAUCAGCUAGUUGGCGAGGUAACGGCUCACCAAGGCAACGACGGGUAGCUGGUCUGAGAGGAUGGCCAGCCACAUUGGGACUGAGAUACGGCCCAGACUCCUACGGGGGCAGCAAUUAGGAAUCUUGCGCAAUGGGCGAAAGCCUGAACGCAGCGACGCCGCGUG